GGAAGCAGGAUAGUGUGGUUUCUAUGAAGUCAGUCAUCUCUGCAUGCCAAAAAUGGCAAAAAUUAGACGCUCUCCUUUCUAGAAAUGAUUAUAAUGUACCAUGACCAAAAAAGUGGGUUUUUUCCUAACAGAUAAUCUUGCAUAAAAAUGACUCUUGGGAUUUCAGAAAUGGAAAGGCUUUUCUCAAACACGUGUGUGCAUGAACACACACACUUUGCAUUUUUUCCAACAAUAGAUCUGAGCUUUCCAUAAGUUAUGUUAUAAUGAGAAUGGCAUCGUCUGGGGCCUUUGAGUGAAAGGGGAAUACAGUAUUUAGAGUUCAGCGAGAGGGAAGAAGCCUGUCUCAGAAAAUAAGAUUUCUCUGCUUACGUUCCUGUGAGAGGAAUUUUAACUUAUAAGGCAUGAAGGACUGUUAAGAUGCUUCUUUAAAAUAUCUGAUCCUGACUGGGUGUGGUGGCUCACGCCUACUUUUUGCUGACCUGUCCAACCUGACUGCAUUCAGGCUCUGGUGACCCAAAAGAGUCUUAGUCCUUUUAUCCUGGAGAGUCAUAAGUAACAUGCAAACAUUGUUAACAAAAGGGGCCUUUCCUUAAGAAAACCCAUUUCCAUUUCACAUCUAAGAGGUCAUUCACGAGAAGUGUCUUAACAGAUUUUGGGUGGUGUUUUGGGGCUAUUUUUACUGAAAAAGUCAAAUAUGCCCACCAUAAAUCUUUUCUGUGAAAUCAACCAAAAACUUUCUUUUUCAAAAGUUCUCAGAGCAAAUGGAAUUUACAUCUACGUGCACAAUCCGAGGGUCCCGGGAUUCCAGAACAUUAUCAGUCCUGAUGGCUGUAUUCUUAAACACUGAUCUAUCAUUAUCCUUCAAAUUCC
rnacentral:lncRNA from 10 species